rnacentral:lncRNA from 1 species
CUUUAAACUUCAGGCAUAGCAACAUGCACAGAGUGCUGAUAGGCUGUAGAUCCUCCCUAGAUAGGGAGAAAGAGGCUGACUGUGAUGUCUACGAGUGUCAGUGUCUGAGCUUCUUCGAGAGGCGGCGGAUCGGCUUGGAGGAUUAGAGUACUGUAAUCAAGAAAGUUCACAAGUUCAUUUUAACUUUGUUUCCAAAGUUGAGAGACGCGGACGGGUUCGAGCUGCUGAAAAUGUCUGGAACUACACAGAGCUGUCAUCUUAUACCUGUCCCAUGCCCCAAUCAGGGCUACAGUAUGAGAUAUCUGAAGACCCUUGUGUCGUGCUACUCUGUACAUUCGCCCGCUGUAAAGGAAUUUGAGUAUGGAGCAUGAACUGAAUGAUUCAGUUGUUGUUCAAAGUGGAACCCUGACACAAUGUCUAAACUGUGAAGAACAACUUCCCUUUGCACAAAUAAGAAGACACAGUGAAGCCUGCUCAAGUUCAUCUGGCAUUUCAGCAGCAAGUGGUCCAGUAUACACCGUUGGUGAACCAAAUCCGGUCAAGGCAGCUCAGCUGUUCACAUACUGGACACUUCAGUCCCACGAGGACAAAGACCUCCUGAGCUUGAGGGAUUCCUUAGUGGAAAGGAACAGGACCAUAAUCCUUUUCUCAACAAUUGCAUCCAAUGUCUUGGUUUGCUGAGCUUGUGUAACUCUACAUUGAAUGAUUUCAAAUAUGUUUACAAGGUGACUCUGCCAUUGGAGAGGGGGUCACUAGGUAUGUCCUGUCCACUGUUAUGGAAAAUCUUCAAAAUGGAUUCCUACUUGAUGAAGAGAAAGGUAUUUUGAAUAUAUUGAUUUAUAGACUUGUAGAUUAUGUGAAACAGUUUUUCCCCAGGUCAGUCAAAAGGACAUCUGUUUAUUUAUGAAGACCUUGCUCUUUGAGGGUGAGCAGGACCAUCUUGUUCCUUCCACAUCUCAGGCACUUUUGGAAAGUCGUUUUUGUUGUAGUAGCUGGGUGCAUGAUUGGGCACUUUUUUGUAUUAUUAUUCUUUUUUAUUUUUUAAAUGGUGGCCCACACCUUGCAGGACUAAGCCCUGCUAUCAUACAUGUUCUGUUUGGCAGAGAACCAGAGACAGCACCGAUAACCUUAUCUGACUGUGUGGACCAUGAUGGUUCGGAGAAACAUUUUUAUCUUUUGUAUAUAUGUUUUUUUUGUAGGUUCAUCAGAGGCCCUGAAGAGUUUGUCCGAGGUCCUGAAGAGUGCUUUUUUUAACCUGAAGCUGUCGAAAAAUACUAUGACUUAUGAGGAUUUUGAAAAAGAUCAGAUGGCAAGCAUCUCCUCAUCCUACUCUGGGUUUGGUCUGUUUUGAUUCAAAGCCCUGCAGGAAGACACAAUUCUUCACAUCAGCUCAAAAGUUUUAUAGAGCUUUUUACUUUGUUAUUUGAUAUACUUUACACUAGGUAUAGAGUUUAGUAAACAGUGAUACAGACACUUUGAUAAAGUGGCUUACAUUUUACAUUCUACAUUCUAACGGUAAUGGUUAACCAAAAAAAUCAAAGCUGUACAAUUUGAAAGAUUAGAGAGAGCUAGAUUAAAGGUAUUGCUCACUACCUCGUCAAUUCCCAAUGGCCUUGCAGGCAGAUGCAUUCUAGAUCCUAUUGGAGGAGGAACCUGAAGCUGGGGCCAGUUCAAAGGCCUACCCUCCAUAUCUACUCCCAUUAUCCCUAUUUAAAAGUCCUGUCAAUGCUAAUUGUGACUAACAACGCCUCUUUAUAAACAAUUUUACUUUUGAAGCCAGGCGGGGUUUUCCAACUGUGGGAAACAUACUGUAUUAAGGAAUAUUGUGUGGUAUAUCAGAAUUCCCAUGCACUUGUUCUAUGCCUGGCUGCACUACAAGGUGAACUGUAAGGCAAGUUACCCUCAAACUGUACAAGAGACUGAAAUAAAAAACUGAU